UACAGAGGGUGCGAGCGUUAAUCGGAAUUACUGGGCGUAAAGCGUGCGUAGACGGCUAUCUAAGUCGGGUGUGAAAGCCCCGGGCUCAACCUGGGAAUUGCAUUCGAGACUGAAUAGCUAGGGUACGGUAGAGGGAAGUGGAAUUUCCGGUGUAGCGGUGAAAUGCGUAGAGAUCGGGAGGAACACCGGUGGCGAAGGCGGGUCUCUGGGCAAUUCCUGACGCUGAGGCGCGAAAGCGUGGGGAGCAAACGGG
rnacentral:rRNA from 1 species